rnacentral:rRNA from 1 species
CGCGAAGAACCUUACCUAGGCUUGACAUGUAUUGCUAAGCGCGUGAAAGCGCGUGAGCCUUCGGGCGCCUUACACAGGUGCUGCAUGGCCGUCGUCAGCUCGUGUCGUGAGAUGUUUGGUUAAGUCCAGCAACGAGCGCAACCCCUGUGAUUAGUUNCCAGCAAGUAAAGUUGGGGACUCUAGUCAGACUGCCCAGGUCAACUGGGAGGAAGGUGGGGAUGACGUCAGGUCAGUAUGGCCCUUACGCCUAGGGCUGCACACGUACUACAAUGCCCAGUACAAUGAGAACCGAUACCGCGAGGUGGAGGAAAUCUGUAAAACUGGGCCCAGUUCGGAUUGGAGGCUGCAACUCGCCUCCAUGAAGUCGGAAUCGCUAGUAAUGGCACAUCAGCUACGGUGCCGUGAAUACGUUCCCGGGUCUUGUACACACCGCCCGUCACAUC